GACAGAGGAUGCAAGCGUUAUCCGGAAUGAUUGGGCGUAAAGCGUCUGUAGGUGGCUUUUUAAGUUCGCCGUCAAAUCCCAGGGCUCAACCUCGGACAGGCGGUGGAAACUACCAAGCUGGAGUACGGUAGGGGCAGAGGGAAUUUCCGGUGGAGCGGUGAAAUGCGUAGAGAUCGGAAAGAACACCAACGGCGAAAAGCACUCUGCUGGGCCGACACUGACACUGAGAGACGAAAGCUAGGGGAGCGAAUGGGAUUAGA
rnacentral:rRNA from 1 species